rnacentral:rRNA from 1 species
CAUUUUGAACUGCAUGGUUCGAAAUUGAAAGGCGGCUUCGGCUGUCACUUAUGGAUGGACCCGCGUCGCAUUAGCUAGUUGGUGAGGUAACGGCUCACCAAGGCAACGAUGCGUAGCCGACCUGAGAGGGUGAUCGGCCACACUGGGACUGAGACACGGCCCAGACUCCUACGGGAGGCAGCAGUAGGGAAUCUUCCGCAAUGGACGAAAGUCUGACGGAGCAACGCCGCGUGAGUGAUGAAGGCUUUCGGGUCGUAAAACUCUGUUGUUAGGGAAGAACAAGUGCUAGUUGAAUAAGCUGGCACCUUGACGGUACCUAACCAGAAAGCCACGGCUAACUACGUGCCAGCAGCCGCGGUAAUACGUAGUUGGCAAGCGUUAUCCGGAAUUAUUGGGCGUAAAGCCGCGCCGCAGGUGGUUUCUUAGUUCUGAUUGUGAAAGGCCCACGGCUUCAACCGUGGAGGGUCAUUGGAAACUUGGGAGACUUGGAUUGCAAGAAAGGAACGUGGAAUUCCAUUUGUGUACGGUGAAAUGCGUAGAGAUAUUGGAGGGAACCACAUGGGCGAAGGCCCACUUUCUUGUUUGGACCUGAACCU